UCUCCUACGGGACGCAGCAGUGAGGAAUAUUGGUCAAUGGGCGAGAGCCUGAACCAGCCAAGUCGCGUGAGGGAAGACGGUCCUAUGGAUUGUAAACCUCUUUUGCCGGGGAGCAAAAAGCGGUACGUGUACCGCGUCGAGAGUACCCGGAGAAAAAGCAUCGGCUAACUCCGUGCCAGCAGCCGCGGUAAUACGGAGGAUGCGAGCGUUAUCCGGAUUUAUUGGGUUUAAAGGGUGCGUAGGCGGAAGGUUAAGUCAGCGGUCAAAUGUCGGUGCUCAACACCGGCUUGCCGUUGAAACUGUUC
rnacentral:rRNA from 1 species